CAGUGAUAUGUUUCCAAGUCAGGAUGGUGUUUCAGUGGCAGAGGAACUUAGAGGUGAUAGUAAGCCCUUGUGCUGCUGCCCUGGCUGUUCUAGAUGGUGAAGAUCAUGGAUUUGGAAGGUGGUGUCAAAGAAGCCCAGGUAAAUUAUGGUCCAAAGAGAAAAAGUGGCUGAUGCUGAACUUCGGCGUUCUUCCAUAGAUCCAAUGCCAGCUUUUGAGUUCUUGGGUAAAUUUGCCAAUUCCAGCAUUAUCAUCGCUAAAUCCUCCCCAUCAACAUCCUUGGGGAAUAGAAACUUACUUGGACCAGUCAUUAAAUAUUAUGGCUACAAGAGAAUGUCAGAGGCUGGGAAUUCAGCAGCAAGUAACUCACCUCCAGAUUCCCCAAAGCUCUCCACCAUUUGAAAGCCAGGAGUGUAAUGGAAGACUCUCCACUUGCCUGGAUAGGUGCAACUCCAACAAUACUCAAGAAGCUCGACACAAUCCAGGACAAAGCAGCUCACUUGAUCAGCACCCUAUUCACUACCUUUAAGCCUUCACUCUCUUCACCAUUGAAGUGUGUACCAUUUAAGGCUCCUUCGACAGCACCUUCCAAACCCAUGACCUCUACAACCUAGAAGGACAAGGGCAGCAGAUACCUGAGAAAAUCACCACCUGCAAGUUCCCUUUCAAGCAACAUACCAUCCUGACUUGGAACUAUAUCAUACCUCUUUCACUGUCAUACCUUUCACUGUCAUAGAUCAAAAACCUGGAGCUUCAUCCAAACAUACAGCACAUGGACAGCAGCAGUUCAAGAAGCUGGCUCACCACCAUGCUCUUAAAGGCACUUAAGGGAUAGGCACCAAAUGCUGACCUUGCCAAUGACGUUCACACCCCAUGAACAACAAAAAAAGUACUCUUCUGAGUUUAGUUAGGUUAAACUUUGGAGAGCUCUACUACCAAGAGAUGGGGAUUGAUAUAGUUGCGUGUGUCAUAUGUAUGUGUGUGUAAUUAUGUAUCACCAAUAAGCAACUUAAAACCAGUUUCAAUAUCAUACAAAUUGCUUAGUAAACGUGCAGUCUAAUCCAUGAAGGGCCAAGAAGGUCUUCAUCAAAUAUACAAUGCAAGUUGAUUGAUCGAUUUAUGUAUUUAUUUAUUUAUAUUACUCUAUAGUUGAGGUCACUCCCGUAAAUAGUGUACUAGAUAAUUAGACAAUGUGCCCAUACACUUGUGCCAACACUAUCCUUUAAACAACUGGUAGAAAAAUGCACAACUUAUCGAUAGAACUCACUAUUUCUUGUUUGUCUCUGCUUGGCACCUCCCAGGCAGCUUUUGUUGAGAA